rnacentral:lncRNA from 1 species
GAAAAGAUCUGUAUUCCCUCUUAUACUCUGACUCUCUGAGGUGUCCAGUGGCAUAAAGCAAUAAGCAUCAGCAUGCGCAAUGUGAGAACACGAAGAAACUCCCAUUCUACUUUUGGUACUUAAGCUAACAACCUGAUCCCAUGGAAUCAAACAUUUUCUCAUGUACCAGCACGUGAGAAGAAACUGAUUGAUUACCUCACAGUUUGCCUACACCAUUGGUGCUCUCACGGUUUACAAACUCACUUGUCUUAUCUAUUAUCUCAAAUCCAUCUCCUCACCGACAUCACAGCCUCUAUGUAGUGCACUCACUCUCAUGGUAUGUCUACAAUUGGCACCUUGCGGCGGCACAUACAACAAACGUACUGAAUUAGCAUAUACUCUGGUCAGCCGUCAGCACAAAGAAGAAAGAAAGAUGGCAAUAGGAAAAUCAAAAAUUAACAUCUUUUCAUAUGAAACAAGCGUGGAGUGUUGCAUUAUCUCGUUGGCAAUACGUAGUGUAGAUUAGCAACUGAAUUCAACUAACAAACAACUGAAUUUUGUGAAAAGAAAUUCUUAUCCCAUGGUACAUUCCCUAGUCUAAAUAAGAUGACUAUAAAAACUAAAUUCAGCUAAUUAACAACUGACACAUUCGACUAAAAACUACAUUGAGCUAAUUAACAAUGACACUUAGCAUUCCAAUGAAAUUUAUGAGGCAGAACCGUCCAUUGUUCUGUAAAUGUCUAUACCUGACUGAAUAUUGCCCAUUAGAAGAUAGCAGCCAAAUCUGACGAAGCUACUGCAGCAAAUUCUCCAUCAACUCACUCAAGUUACUUCUGAAGGCACUAUGUAAUCACAAAGCAAUUAUUCCCUAGUCUGAACACGAUGAGAUCAAAGUAAGGGUGGGGAGAUGUGCGGAUGAUUACUGAC